rnacentral:lncRNA from 1 species
CCAAGAGUGAACCCUGAGGUAAAUUAUGGACUGUGUGGGUGAUUAUGAUACAUCAUAAGAGAUUCAUCCUUGUCUAAUCACGGCAAACCUAAUGGAAGGACAGCCUGCAAAACACCUGACUGUGCCCUUCGAGACUGUCAAGGUCAUGAAACAAGGAAAGACCAAACAGUCACAGAUUGGAGACCAAGGGAACAUGAUGACCAAAGGCAAUCUGAUAUCCUGCAACAGGAAAAGGACAUCAUGGAGAAACUGCAGAAGAGAUCCACUGUGACAUAUGUGUCAACAGAGAACUGGCAAAGAACCUAUAGGCACAAUGUCAAGUGCAGAACCCAGAACGGCCUACUGUUGCUAGUAAACCGAGCCCUCAGCAAUGGCACAGACCAGGGCAGCCUUGAAGACAAGAAGUCCAUGUUGCUGAAGCCCAUGCAUAGCCUCUACCACUGA